GCCCUCGUAGCUCAGGGGAUAGAGCAUUGGUUUCCUAAACCAUGUGCGGUGGUUCGAGUCCACUCGGGGGCACCA
rnacentral:tRNA from 5 species